UACGUAGGGUGCAAGCGUUGUCCGGAAUUAUUGGGCGUAAAGAGCUCGUAGGCGGUCUGUCGCGUCGGCUGUGAAAUCCCGAGGCUCAACUUCGGGCUUGCAGUCGAUACGGGCAGGCUAGAGUUCGGUAGGGGAGACUGGAAUUCCUGGUGUAGCGGUGAAAUGCGCAGAUAUCAGGAGGAACACCGAUGGCGAAGGCAGGUCUCUGGGCCGAUACUGACGCUGAGGAGCGAAAGCGUGGGGAGCGAACAGG
rnacentral:rRNA from 1 species